AAGUCGUAACAAGGUAACCGUAGGUGAACCUGCGGUUGGAUCAUUACCAAUUUUUCCUUUUUUCGCAAAAUAUUUUUGCACUUUCACUUUUUGUCUUUAACUCGGUCUCAUAAAUGGAUAUCCUUUGGGAGGUUCGAGAUUGAGUAAUCGAUUCAAAUAGUGAAAGGAAGAAUCUUUGUGAAGGAAGUGGAAACCAACUUGUGAACCUGUAAUUGUGCAUUGGCGGCUGUUCAGUGCCUUGUGCUGAACAUGCAUUCAGUUGCAAAGGCCGUCAAUAUAUGCUUCAAACAUUUCUAGUUUUAUUUAUUUUUGUCUUCUUUCUUUUGAUUAAGAAACCAAGAACAACUAUUAACAAUGGAUCUCUUGGCUCUC
rnacentral:misc_RNA from 1 species